rnacentral:rRNA from 1 species
CAAUAGCGUAUAUUAAAGUUGUUGCAGUUAAAAAGCUCGUAGUUGAAUUUUUGCUUGCCGCCGAUGUCGGAACUUCCGUACGUUCGGCGGCGUGCAUCCUUGGGUGGAACCUGUGUGGCAUUAGGUUGUCGUGCAGGGGAUGCUCAUCGUUUACUGUGAAAAAAUUAGAGUGUUCAAAGCAGGCUUACGCCGUUGAAUAUAUUAGCAUGGAAUAAUAAGAUAGGACCUUGGUACUAUUUUGUUGGUUUGCGCACCGAGGUAAUGAUUAACAGGGACAGUUGGGGGUAUUCGUAUUCCAUUGUCAGAGGUGAAAUUCUUGGAUUUCUGGAAGACGAACUACUGCGAAAGCAUUUACCAAGGAUGGUUUCAUUAA